GCAAAACAGAGAAUGAGCUGGAAACUCGUCCACUUUGGCCAAGCAGGCCUGCACACAAAGACAGCCAGAACCCCGCACAGAACGGAGGAGAGGAGACUCGUGCUGGAUGACCCGCCCGCCCUCCUACAUUGAUGCUCCCGGGCUCGGACCUUGGGCAACGAUGGCCAAGUCUGCGGAUAUAUCCGGAGGGGUUCUCCGGUGCCACCUGAGAAUCAAGUCCUGGAGAAGAGCUGGAGGCUGGAGGUGGGACAGCUAUGGAGCCUUGGCCUCUUACAGAACCAUCGAUGACAGGCUCUGCCCUAAGAGAGCAGGCAGUCUGGUCAUCUGCUUCUCAGCUCAGUAGCCCCUGGAACCAUGGCGACAUCUAUUCCCUUCCAAAAUGCAGGGUCAUCAACAGCAAAAACCCCA